rnacentral:tRNA from 1 species
GGAGGGGUGGCCGAGUUGGUCGAAGGCGCGCUCCUGCUAAGGGCGAGACGGCCGAAGGGUCGUCCGCGGGUUCGAAUCCCGUCCCCUCCA